rnacentral:rRNA from 1 species
CCUACGGGAGGCAGCAGUGGGGAAUAUUGCACAAUGGGGGAAACCCUGAUGCAGCGACGCCGCGUGAGGGAAGAAGUAUUUCGGUAUGUAAAGCUCUAUCAGCAGGGAAGAAAAUGACGGUACCUGUUUAAGAAGCCCCGGCUAACUACGUGGCAGCAGGCGUGGUAACACGUAGGGGGCAAGCGUUAUCCGGAUUUACUGGGUGUAAAGGGAGCGUAGACGGCAGCACAAGUCUGGAGUGAAAUGCCGGGGCUUAACCCCGGAACUGCUUUGGAAACUGGGUAGCUAGAGUGCAGGAGAGGUAAGUGGAAUUCGUAGUGUAGCGGUGAAAUGCGUAGAUAUUAGGAGGAACACCAGUGGCGAAGGCAGCUUACUGGACUGUAACUGACGUUGAGGCUCGAAAGCGUGGGGAGCGAACAGGAUUAGAUACCCUAGUAGUC